rnacentral:rRNA from 1 species
GGGACACGUGGUAUCCUGUCUGAAUAUGGGGGGACCAUCCUCCAAGGCUAAAUACUCCUGACUGACCGAUAGUGAACCAGUACCGUGAGGGAAAGGCGAAAAGAACCCCGGCGAGGGGAGUGAAAAAGAACCUGAAACCGUGUACGUACAAGCAGUGGGAGCCUCUUAAUGGGGUGACUGCGUACCUUUUGUAUAAUGGGUCAGCGACUUAUAUUCUGUAGCAAGGUUAACCGAAUAGGGGAGCCGAAGGGAAACCGAGUCUUAACUGGGCGUUAAGUUGCAGGGUAUAGACCCGAAACCCGGUGAUCUAGCCAUGGGCAGGUUGAAGGUUGGGUAACACUAACUGGAGGACCGAACCGACUAAUGUUGAAAAAUUAGCGGAUGACUUGUGGCUGGGGGUGAAAGGCCAAUCAAACCGGGAGAUAGCUGGUUCUCCCCGAAAGCUAUUUAGGUAGCGCCUCGUGAAUUCAUCUCCGGGGGUAGAGCACUGUUUCGGCAAGGGGGUCAUCCCGACUUACCAACCCGAUGCAAACUGCGAAUACCGGAGAAUGUUAUCACGGGAGACACACGGCGGGUGCUAACGUCCGUCGUGAAGAGGGAAACAACCCAGACCGCCAGCUAAGGUCCCAAAGUCAUGGUUAAGUGGGAAACGAUGUGGGAAGGCCCAGACAGCCAGGAUGUUGGCUUAGAAGCAGCCAUCAUUUAAAGAAAGCGUAAUAGCUCACUGGUCGAGUCGGCCUGCGCGGAAGAUGUAACGGGGCUAAACCAUGCACCGAAGCUGCGGCAGCGACGCUUAUGCGUUGUUGGGUAGGGGAGCGUUCUGUAAGCCUGUGAAGGUGUGCUGUGAGGCAUGCUGGAGGUAUCAGAAGUGCGAAUGCUGACAUAAGUAACGAUAAAGCGGGUGAAAAGCCCGCUCGCCGGAAGACCAAGGGUUCCUGUCCAACGUUAAUCGGGGCAGGGUGAGUCGACCCCUAAGGCGAGGCCGAAAGGCGUAGUCGAUGGGAAACAGGUUAAUAUUCCUGUACUUGGUGUUACUGCGAAGGGGGGACGGAGAAGGCUAUGUUGGCCGGGCGACGGUUGUCCCGGUUUAAGCGUGUAGGCUGGUUUUCCAGGCAAAUCCGGAAAACCAAGGCUGAGGCGUGAUGAC